UACGUGUGAGGCAAGCGUUGUUCGGAAUUACUGGGCGUAAAGGGCUCGUAGGUGGCCAACUAAGUCGGACGUGAAAUCCCUCAGCUUAACUGGGGAACUGCGUCCGAUACUGGAUGGCUUGAGUUUGGGAGAGGGAUGCGGAAUUCCAGGUGUAGCGGUGAAAUGCGUAGAUAUCUGGAGGAACACCGGUGGCGAAGGCGGCAUCCUGGACCAACACUGACACUGAGGAGCGAAAGCCAGGGGAGCAAACGGG
rnacentral:rRNA from 1 species